rnacentral:lncRNA from 1 species
UUUCUCUGUUGGAGUGCCUUCAUUUACAAAGCAUAUUUUUCAAGUCUUUUGCUAAGAGUAAUGCCAUGGAGCAGCCUCCCAUCAUUCUUGUUAAUAGGACUGUCUGUGUGUUACAGUAAACAGCUAUAACUCUUCUGUUGGAGCCGUUGUGCAGCAGGCAGAGUUUGUUCAGUAUCCAAUUAAGGGUGUCUCCAAUUUGCCAGCCAGGAUCAUGAGAGCUGUGACUCAGCCAUCAGGCAACCUGGGCAUUGUGGAGGCUUCUCAAAGUAGAGAGGGCUGAUGCCCUUCCUCCUCCGCAGCAAGGGGACUGGAGCCUGGCUCUAGACGAUCUCUGUUUUGUUUUGUUUUGUUUUGUUUUGUUUUGUUUUGUUUUGUUUUUACAUGGAGUUUCGCUCUUGUUGCCCAGGCUGGAGCAUAGUGGUGCGAUCUUGGCUCACGGCAACCUCUGCCUCACGGGUUCAAGUGAUUUUCCUGCCUCAGCCUCCCAAGUAGCUGGGAUUACAAGAGUGUGCCACCACGCCUAGCUAAUCUUGCAUUUUCAGUGGAGACAGGGUUUCAACAUGUUGGUCAGGCUGGUCUCAAACUCCUGACCUCAAGUGAUUCAGCCGCCUCGCCUCCCAAAGUGCUGGGAUUACAGGUGUGAGGCACCACAUCCGACCUCUGCUCUUCCUCAAAGGCCACCAAAUCAUGCCAGCUAACUGUGCAAAGAUGUUAGCCUGAUAGUCAAAGCUCUUCCCAGACUCUUAUAAACAUAGAAGAACAUAGCGGUUAAGAACAUGAGCUCUGCAGCAGGAUUACACGGAUUCCAAUCUCAGCUCAGCCACAUACUAGCUGUGUGAUGUUGGAUGAGAACAUUGAGGCCUAGGGCAUUUCAAUAGCUUGCCAAAGGGCUCAUCAUUCUCGGGUAACAGGAUGAGGCCAGACACCAAGGAUCCCUGGAUCCAUGCCCUACUCUCCACACUUGUCUUGGGUCUAUGAAGCCCCCAGUCCCAAGCCUUUGAAAACGAUGUUCCUUGGGGGUAGGAGCA